rnacentral:rRNA from 1 species
CCUACGGGAGGCAGCAGUGGGGAAUAUUGCACAAUGGGGGAAACCCUGAUGCAGCGACGCCGCGUGAGUGAAGAAGUAAUUCGUUAUGUAAAGCUCUAUCAGCAGGGAAGAAAAUGACGGUACAUGAGUAAGAAGCCCCGGCUAACUACGUGCCAGCAGCCGCGGUAAUACGUAGGGGGCAAGCGUUAUCCGGAUUUACUGGGAGUAAAGGGAGCGUAGACGGUGGGGUAAGUCUGGAGUGAAAGGCGGGGGCUCAACCGCAGAACUGCCCUGGAAAUUGGACGGCUUGAGUGCAGGAGAGGUAAGUGGAAUUCCUAGUGUAGCGGUGAAAUGCGUAGAGAUAAGGAAGAACACCAGUGGCGAAGGCGGCUUACUGGACUGUAACUGACGUUGAGGCUCGAAAGCGUGGGGAGCAAACAGGAUUAGAUACCCGUGUAGUC